AUUGUGCCCCUUUAAUUUAUUAUAUAAGGAGGGACCUGUAGAUCUGCUCGCUCUCUGACAGCUGAUACGCACCUCCCCCUUCCGGGUUUACCUGGCUGCAGGUUCGGCAGACGCUCGGCACUCUCUGCAGGGUUGUGCAAAUUGUUCCACCGUGCAGGCGCUGGCAGGUCGGACUGCGUGUUUGCUCGUUUUGUCCCGGAGCUAUGCCACGCUGAGGUCCCGACUGCCCUGACCCGUUUUGGACUGCUGCUGCUUUGUGUGGGGAUAAAACCCACACUUUUUACGGACCUUGCCUGCUGCUGCGUUCGGGUGUGGAAAUCCCGUUGUCCGCAUUUUUAUGCCUAUUGUAUUAUGUUUUCAUGUUUAGCUGCCUGAAAUAGGAGGUGGAUGGCAAGGGAGAUUUUUCUUUAUUAUUUUUGUAGCUAUUUUUGAUUAUUUGAUGGUUUAGUUCUUUGAGUUCAAACUGUAACCUGUUUUGAUAUUUUCCUUUCUUUUUGAUUUGUAUUGGAUCUCUAUUGUUGUUGAAUUUAUUUUCAGUCUCCCAUUAACUGUCCAUCUUUGUGAUUCCAGGUGCUGAGGGCCUCACUGGUGAUCCUGUUUGGUGAUGGUGUCCCUUCGUGUGUAGUGUC
ensembl:lncRNA